GAUGAAGAACGUAGUGAAAUGCGAUAAGUAAUGUGAAUUGCAGAAUUCAGUGAAUCAUCGAAUCUUUGAACGCACAUUGCGCCCGGCAGUAAUCUGCCGGGCAUGCCUGUCCGAGCGUCAUUUCUCCCCUCGAGCGCAGCUUUCCCCCCCGGGGGAGGGCCGCGCCCGGUGUUGGGGCGCUACGGAGGAGCCCAGCGCUCCCCCGUAGGCCCCGAAAUGUAGCGGCGGUCCCGCCGCGGCGCCCCCUGCGUAGUAGUUUUACAACUCGCAUCGGGUCCCGGCGGAGGCCAGCCGUCAAACCCCCCAACUUCAAUAGUUUGACCUCGCAUCAGGUAGGGUUACCCGCUGAACUUAAGCAUAUCAAUAAGCGGAGGA
rnacentral:misc_RNA from 1 species